rnacentral:rRNA from 1 species
UGGGGAAUCUUGCACAAUGGGGGAAACCCUGAUGCAGCGACGCCGCGUGAGCGAUGAAGCCCUUCGGGGUGUAAAGCUCUUUCGGCAGGGACGAUAAUGACGGUACCUGAAGAAGAAGCUGCGGCUAACUACGUGCCAGCAGCCGCGGUAAUACGUAGGCAGCGAGCGUUGUUCGGAGUUACUGGGCGUAAAGCGUGCGUAGGCGGUGGUCCAAGUCUGGUGUGAAAUCUCCCGGCUCAACUGGGAGGGUGCGCCGGAAACUGGGCCGCUGGAGUGUGGGAGAGGCAAGUGGAAUUCCAGGUGUAGCGGUGAAAUGCGUAGAUAUCUGGAGGAACACCCGUGGUGCAGACGGCUUGCUGGACCAUAACUGACGCUGAUGCACGAAAGCGUGGGUAGCAAACAGGAUUAGAUACCCUGGUAGUCCACGCCCUAAACGAUGCAUACUUGGUGUGGGCAGUUCAGUCUGUCCGUGCCGAAGCUAACGCGAUAAGUAUGCCGCCUGGGGAGUACGGUCGCAAGGCUGA